rnacentral:rRNA from 1 species
AAACAGCUUGACCUGAUUACGAAUUCGAGCUCGGUACCCGGGGAUCCUCUAGAGAUUAUUCUGGUUGAUCCCGGCGGAGGCGACCGCUAUUGGAGUUCGAUUAAGCCAUGCGAGUAGAAAGAAAUUAGAUUCUUUGCAUACUGCUCAGUAACACGUGGAUAACCUGCCCUACACUGGGGGAUAAUCUUGGGAAACUGAGGGUAAUACCCCAUAGACCACUACGCCUGGAACGGUGAGUGGUUGAAAGCUCCGGCGGUGUAGGAUGGGUCUGCGGCGUAUCAGGUCGUAGGGGGUGUAACGGACCUCCUAGCCAUCGACGCGUACGGGUUGUGGGAGCAAUAGCCCGGAGACGGAUUCUGAGACACGAAUCCGGACCCUACGGGGUGCAGCAGGCGCGAAAACUUCACACUGCAGGAAACUGUGAUGAGGGAACUCCAAGUGCAUGCACAAUGUGUAUGCUUUUCUUGAAUCUUAAUAG